rnacentral:rRNA from 1 species
AUACGGAGGAUCCGAGCGUUAUCCGGAUUUAUUGGGUUUAAAGGGUGCGCAGGUGGCCAUUUAAGUCAGCGGUUAAAUCGUGGGGCUCAACCCCAUUCUGCCGUUGAUACUGGGUGGCUUGAUUGCGGUCGAGGUUGGCGGAAUUCGUUGUGUAGCGGUGAGAUGCAUAGAUAUGACGAAGAACACCGAUUGCGUAGGCAGCUGACCAGACCGCAAAUGACGCUCAUGCACGAAAGUGCGGGGAUCGAACAGGAUUAGAUACCCUGGUAGUCCGCACAGUAAACGAUGAAUACUUGUUUUCGGCGAUAUAAUGUCGGAGGCAAAGCGAAAGCGAUAAGUAUUCCACCUGGGGAGUACGCCGGCAACGGUGAAACUCAAAUGAAUUGACGGGG